rnacentral:rRNA from 1 species
AGUGAACGCUGGCGGUAGGCCUAACACAUGCAAGUCGAACGGCAGCACAGUAAGAGCUUGCUCUUACGGGUGGCGAGUGGCGGACGGGUGCGGAAUACAUCGGAAUCUACUUUUUCGUGGGGGCUAACGUAGGGAAACUUACGCUAAUACCGCAUACGACCUACGGGUGAAAGCAGGGGAUCUUCGGACCUUGCGCGAUUGAAUGAGCCGAUGUCGGAUUAGCUAGUUGGCGGGGGAAAGGCCCACCAAGGCGACGAUCCGUAGCUGGUCUGAGAGGAUGAUCAGCCACACUGGAACUGAGACACGGUCCAGACUCCUACGGGAGGCCGCAGUGGGGAAUAUUGGACAAUGGGGGCAAGCCUGAUCCAGCCAUACCGCGUGGGUGAAGAAGGCCUUCGGGUUGGAAAGCCCUUUUGUUGGGAAAGAAAAGCAGCAGGUUAAUACCCCGCUGUUCUGACGGUACCCAAAGAAUAAGCACCGGCUAACUUCGUG